GAAAAGGGAGACACGUUGAUCAAUUGAUAGAUGGCGAAGUAUCUCUCAAGUUGCAAGAUCCAAUCGUUGGGAUCUUUAUCAUCGAAGGUAGGCAUGUCUAUCUUCUUAUGGCGGUAUUCAUAACGCCCUCCACCUCUUCCUCCCUCGUUUUGGUUGACGGUUCCAAAGACGAGACUACUUCCGUUAAAGCCUAAACCUCCUUGACUGGCGCCGCCCUGAUCGGAGCCUCCAUGACCGGAAUCACCCUGGCCAGAUCCCGCAGCUACAGUGCUUCCCAAGCCUUUGUUCUUGUUUUGCUGGUGCCCGGUGGGAGUGUGAUACAACCCAGCUCAAAGUGUACACAAGGAGGCCAAAACGGGUCAAACCUCGUGACCCGAAAUCAAUUGAACAGGAGUAAUUCAAUGCCAUUUUUGGGAUUUGGUUAGAACCAUUGGGUCAACAAAGCAACGAGAUAAUGGAAAGGCGGGGGGCAGUUAACAAGCUAGUUUCUAGGAGCAGUUACUGAUCAUUCCAAGUGUUAAUUAGCAGGCUACGUUUCAAUUGUUUUUCAGUUCAAUCAUUUUAUCAUUUGUUUGUUUGUAUUGGAGACUUUGCCCCUCUCGAGUCGGUCCCUUUAAUUUUAUCUAAUUAUUUAAUGCUUGCUGUAAUUCUGAGAUCCUAUCAGAGUGAUAAGGAGAGAAACUUUAUUCUAUCUUCGUUAUCUCUUCAUUCAUAUUCUUCUCUUUCGCUCGAAUGGCUAAUCUACAUCCUGCUCUUACAGUUACCAAUAUCAGGAAUUUCAUUCCCAUUGUGUUGGACCAUGAUGAUGGGCAAUACACAUCAUGGGUGGAAUUCUUCAAGAUCCACUGUCACGCCCAUGACAUAAUCAAUCACAUCAUUCCCGCUGAAGGAUCUUCAUCUAAAUCACCCGGUGAUAAAGAUAAAGAAAAGAUUGACGAGAAAUUUCCAUAGAAACGAUUAGAUUCUUUAGUUCUACAAUGGAUUUACAGUACAAUCUAUAAGGAUUUACUAAUUACCAUUCUCAAGCCAGACUCUACUGCUGAACGGGCAUGGAAAGCCUUGGAGAAUAUACUUGGAAAACCAGUUCUUUAAUGUUCGGUGGGAAUCUUUUCCCAAUGUUUCUGCCUAGUGUCAAGAGUUAAAAACUCUCUCUGACCAACUCUCAAACGUUGAUGCACCUGUUUCCAAGGAUCGGUUGGUGCUACAAUUAAUUGUUGUUCUUGGUGAAAAAUAUGAAAACAUAGCAACACACUUGCAACAAACCUCUCCCCUGCCUGAUUUUUAUAUAGCAAGGUCCAAAUUCAUUUUGGAAGAAACCCGAAAAGCUCACAUUGCAGCCACAUCUUCCACUGCACUACUUGCUGCCACAGAAAAAGCUUCAGCAGUAGCUCAACAAUCCAUCUCACACAACACAAGUAUUCGCAAUCGAUCCGGUUAUGAUCAGCAACAAAACCACAUAGGAGGCCGUGGAUAGUAGGCUCGCGGUGGAGGAAAAUCAGGUAGAGGAGGGCGUGGACGUGGGAAAAAUUUUGGUCAGGGUAAUUACUUUUAUAUACAAACUCCUUGUAAUGGUUAGAACUCUAAUGGUUGGAAUCCUACUUGGCAACAACAACAACAGUGGAAAGCCCCUCCUGCACCAUAUCCAACCACACCAGGUAACAGGCACCCUAACCAAAACACAUUUGCAGGUGUUCUUGGCAGCCCACCUUUUGGUUAUGCAGAAUCAUAUACACCAACAAACAUCGAGCAGGCUAUGCACACAAUGACUCUCAAUCCUGAUCAGAAUUGGUAUUUGGACUUCGGGGCUACAAAUCAUAUGUCAAACAAUAAAGGACUUUCAGACGCGGAUUCCUAUCCUCCGAUGUAAUAGCACAAGAGAUCUCUAUCCUUUAUCAUCGUCGUCUACGCAAGUCACUCCUUCCAGUUUUGCUGCCCUGUCUCAAGACCUAUGGCAUCCCCACUUAGGGCAUCCUAGUUCAUCAUUAUUGCGUGUUUUGAAUAAGAACAACUUUAUUUCUAUUGGCAGAUUUUCCGAUAAACAUUUAUGUCAAUCUUGUGUGUUUGGUAAACAUAUUAAAUUGCCUUUCUAUA